GGUAACGUACAAUUUUUUUUUUUUUUUUUCGGUCUUUUUGCUUUUUCUAGGGCUGCUCCUGAGGCAUAUGGAGGUUCCCAGGCUAGGGGUCAAAUUGGAGCUGUAGCUGUUGCCCUUUGCCACACAGCUCACGGGACUCCAGAUCCUUAACCCACUGAGUGAGGCCAGGGAUUGAACCUGCAUCCUCAUGGGUACUAGUCGGGUUUGUUAACUGCCGAGCCACAUGGGUGGGCAUUCAUGGAUGUGAAUGUAUCUUUGGAUGUCCAUAAUGUUACUACAUGGACUGUAGUAACAGUCAGUGGUCUGUUUAAAAAAAGUAUUUCACACCCUUUCUUUUGUAUCAUUGUGUCUGAUUAAGACUUUAACAAGUAUGCUUAUAAGUAAAACCUGUGAAUCUAUAAUUUUUUUUUCUGGCUAGUUUUGUGAAUUUUGAAAUUAAAAUCUUGGAAUUUAAUUUGUGGCUCAGCGAGUUGUCGUGGCUCAGCGAGUUGAGAACCCAACACAGUGUGAGGAGGUGGGCUUGAUCCCUGGCCUCUCUCAGUGGGUUAAGAAUCUGGUCUUGCUGCAAGCUGCAGUGUAGAUCACAGAUGCGGCGCAGAUCCAGUGUUGCUGUGGCUAUGGCGUUGGCCUGCAGCUGCAGGUCUGAUUUGACCCCUAGCCCAGGAACUUUUAGAGGAGGAAAAAACCCUUUGUAUCUCAUAGAUAGAACUACUUGGACAACAUGGCUAUAUUUUUGGAACAGCGUGUACUAUAUUUGAAAUGUUGAAAAUAAUAACAAUAGUGAAUUGCGUAAGUUAUAAAUUAGUAAUUACUCUGAAUUUUGCCUUUCUCAUUUAAAAACAAUUGUGUGUUUUUUGGGAUUUAUUGGAAUAGAAUUUUAGAUUUCAUUAUUAAAUAUUAUGAUUAAAGUCUCAAUUUCCUACCUGGUCUAAGCACUAUAUUAAAUGAUUGUAACAUUAAAAAAAUAGUAGUUUAUGUUAUAAAGACAAUACAUAUUAAAUGUAAAAAUAAAUUAAAACUGUAGAGAAAGGGUCAGAGUUCCCAUUAUGGCGCAGCGGAAAUGAAUCUGACUAGGAACCAUGAGGUUGUGGGUUUGAUCCCUCGCCUCACCCAGUGGGUUAAGGAUCUGACAUUGCCGUGAGCUGUGGUGUAGGCCGCAGAUGCAGCUCGGAUCCCCAGUUGCUGUGGCUGUGGUAUAGGCCGGCAGCUGUAGCUCCGAUUAGAUCCUAGCCUGGCAACCUCCAUAUGCCCUGUGUGCGACCCUAAAAAGCAAACAAACCAAAAAAACUGUAAAAAAGGGAAAGGAUAGGUCCCCCUUCAUCCCCAUUCUCCUUUCCACAGACAUGACCCUUAUUAAGAGCUUGGUGUAUUUUCUCUUCCAGUACUCAUGCAUUUAUAGCCAUGUGUGUAAUUUUAAAAGAAUAAAUGGGAUCAUAUAAUACACAUUACUCAACUUUUUUCCCUUCUUAUAUCUCCUUAAUUUCAUAUCUUUUCCUUUUUUCUUUAGUUGUCUUUUUUCCUUGUGAAAAAUAUAAUAGAGAAAAGCAUACAGACUAAAGAAAUUGAGUUCCAUGUUUCUAUCACCCAAAAUAAACUAUUAAAUUUUUUAAUAUUUUAGUUAAAUCUUUAAAAAAUAGAUAAUAUAUUCACAUAGUUCAAAAACCAGAAGUUAUAAACAGAUAUGAAAUGAAAAGUUUCCUUGUUUUUGUCAUCGCUCUUUGCAUCCUCCCACAAUUCCCUGGGAUAUAUUGCUAUUGAUUUCUUUGGUUUUCUUACAUUUUAUGUGUGCAUAAGCAGAGAGCAAUGUACAUUCUUGUCUCUCUCUUUUUACACAAAUAGUAGCAGAGUAUAUAUAUAAAUAGUAUCAUAUUUGCUUAUAGUAUUUCUCUUAGGGAAUAUAAAAUGUUAUGAAAACUAAAGUAUUCUUUAACAGUUACUGUAAUGAGUAGUAUGUAUUUUUUCAGGCUAAAUUAAAACUUAAACACUUGGAGUUCCCAUCAUGGCGCAGCAGAGAUGAAUCUGACUAGGAACCAUGAGGUUUUGGGUUCUAUCCCUCGCCUCGCUCAGUGGGUUAAGGAUCUGGUGUUGCUGUGAGCUGUGGUGUAGGUCGCAGACGCAGCUUGGAUCUGGCGUUGCUACGGCUCUGGCAUAGGCCGGCAGCUGUAGCUCUGAUUAGACCCCUAGCCCGGGAACCUCCAUGUGCCGUGGGUGCGGCCCUGAAAAGACAAAAGACAAAAAAAAAAAAAGGAAAAAAAAAAAAAA
ensembl:lncRNA